AGAACGAACGCUGGCGGCAUGCCUAAUACAUGCAAGUCGAACGAACACUUCGGUGUUAGUGGCGCACGGGUGCGUAACGCGUGGGAAUCUGCCCUUGGGUUCGGAAUAACAGUUGGAAACGACUGCUAAUACCGGAUGAUAUCGAAAGAUCAAAGAUUUAUCGCCCAGGGAUGAGCCCGCGUAGGAUUAGCUAGUUGGUGAGGUAAAGGCUCACCAAGGCGACGAUCCUUAGCUGGUCUGAGAGGAUGAUCAGCCACACUGGGACUGAGACACGGCCCAGACUCCUACGGGAGGCAGCAGUAGGGAAUAGUUGGACAAUGGGCGCAAGCCUGAUCCAGCAAUGCCGCGUGAGUGAUGAAGGCCGUUAGGGUUGUAAAGCUUACUUUACCCGAGAUGAUAAUGACAGUA
rnacentral:rRNA from 1 species